GAUGAACGCUGGCGGCGUGCCUAAUACAUGCAAGUCGAGCGAACAGACGAGGAGCUUGCUCCUCUGACGUUAGCGGCGGACGGGUGAGUAACACGUGGAUAACCUACCUAUAAGACUGGGAUAACUUCGGGAAACCGGAGCUAAUACCGGAUAAUAUAUUGAACCGCAUGGUUCAAUAGUGAAAGACGGUUUUGCUGUCACUUAUAGAUGGAUCCGCGCCGCAUUAGCUAGUUGGUAAGGUAACGGCUUACCAAGGCAACGAUGCGUAGCCGACCUGAGAGGGUGAUCGGCCACACGAGAACGGCGACGCGGUCAAGACUCCUGCGGGCGGCAGCAGGAGGGAUUCUUCCGUAAUGGGAGAAAUCUUGACGGAGCAACGCGGCGUGGGUGAUGAAGGUCUUCGGAUCGUAAACCUCUGUUAGGAGGGAAGAACAAAGGUGUAAGUAACUAUCCACGUCUUGACGGUACCUAAUCAGAAAGCCACGACUAACUAC
rnacentral:rRNA from 1 species